rnacentral:lncRNA from 1 species
AGAAAUGACAUUUGGCACCCGUAGACUUGCAAGUACCACUGUAGCGAGUAGCAAGGUGUAGGAUAGUCAAUCUAGUAUAGAUCUAUAUGCAAACUCAUAUGCUCCCCAAUUAAGGAGAUUCAUGAUACAAAAGCGGUCAUGGCAGGAAGUGCCAUGACCCGCUCAAUGGUUCACAUAACUGCAUGAAUGUAUAUGUAAUGAAUGUGCUAACUGGAAGUGUACUCUUUCUCUGUCUAGCCUGUNCUAACUGAAAGUGUACUCUUUCUCUGUCUAGCCUGUAUGUAUUGUAAUGUUCUACGUGUACUAGCUGUAAUGUAUGUUCUCUCUCUAUCUAGCAUGUAUAGUAAUGUAUUGACUCAUGAAUGAAUAGACUCAUUGUAUGUUUCAUUGUUCUAGUAAUAGUAUUUGUAUCCUCCUGUGCUACCCCUAUGGUAACUUACUAGUGAUGUAACUGGUACGUAUGAACAUGGAAGUAUACCCUUGCUACCCAAGGUUAUUGAAUGGACUGGAAGAAACUUUAUGACUAUAUAUGUACACAUGAUAUAUAACUAAUAUUUAAACGACCUUCGGACGGAUACCCGAUACCCCACCAACGGCGAAAAGGAAAUAAGGCGGCUGGCCUUCCUAAGCCUUUCAAACAUUUCUUAUAUAACCAUCUAAAGUAAGCAUGCAAUUGACAAUGUAAUAGUAUAAAGAAGUUUAUACUAUUACAUAUGUAUGAACUCACCCUUCAGGUGAGUUCAUACAUAUGUAAGCAUGCAAUUGACAAUGUAAUAGUAUAAAUGAAGUUUUGGAAAACUAUCUGAAGUAAACUAUUUGGUAAAACAACUAAAGGAAUAAUAAAUCCUUUUGUAUGUUGCUUAUUAAUCACGUGUUUCAACUUGUAUCCCCCACAUAUAAACAUUUAAAACAUUUAAAUCAAUGAUUAAAGGGGUAUGAACUCACCUGAAGAUGGUGGUUUGGAUGAACUGAACGAUGUAGGAUUGCUAAGUGUUAAGUGAAAACUUGUACACACCCAAGGGUCCUAGUUAACAUAUAAUCACACAUAUAUGUACCCAGUUAGUCUUAAACUACUAAUUGAAAAUGCUAAGACCUCCUAGAACAUGCUAAACACCUUAUCUAAGUGUUAUAAGCCCUAAGGAUUGCAUCUAAGUUGUUGUAGGACAAGGCUAGUGUGUGUAGGAUUCAAGGAAAACUCCCUAAUGGAGUUCACGGCCCUAAUGUCACCAACAAAUGAGUUUACUGUCAUAAACUCAUGGGUUUACGACCAUAAGCUCAUACUUACUUGAUCUUUUGAUGUUUUGAGGCUUUACAAGACACUAAGAAGCAUUUCUACUUAAUGGCAAGGUCUUUGGAAGAGAUUAGGGCACCUUUCAACUCCUUUGGGGAGUUUACGACCCUAAGACCACUUACCAUAGAGAUUACGGCCGUAAUCUCUCAUGGAAUGGUGUUUUUGGUGUUUUCAAGCCCCUAACUUAACUAGGAAUGAAUCUAGGCUAGUGUCCAAGGCUUAUGGAGAGUUUAAAGCACACUUUGGCCCUUUUGUUUGGAGUUCACGGUCCAAGAACUUCUUGGGCCAUGAACACCUUACUCUUGGUGUUCUUGGGGUGUUUUCUACUCCUACAUACUUUAGGAUACUAGUCUAAGCUAGUUUCAUUGCAAGAGGAAGGGUAUAGGGCACUCUUUGCCCCUUAAAGAAGGGUUUACGGUCCAAGAUGUUCUUGGGCCGUAAACUCUUUGAUCUUGUGGGUUUCUUAUGAUUUCUAGUGUAUUAGACACAUAUCAAGCCUUAUAACACACUUAGGUAGAAGUACUCACGAUUUGGGACGAAAGGUCGAAGAUCCGUGAGAGAGAAUUUGGCUUUUCUCUAGUUGGAAAUGUAACAAAUGAAUAAAUAUGGCUUAGAACCAUAUAUAUACCCUUAGGGUUUUUGGCAGAAAAUAUUUUAUUUAGGCAUUGAAUUCUAAUAUCAACGAGUUUUGGAAUAACAGAGUUGCACAAUACCCUAGUGUAUCCUCUCUCCUAAUAUCUCUUUAAGUGUAAAUCCUGAAAUACUCAAACUUAUACUAAAAGUCUGAAAAUUUACUGCAACUAUUCUAACUUUUAUUGACUUUAUAUUCUUUGUACAGAAUGGAAAUUUCGGGUUGUCACAUCAUCCCCCCGUUAGAGGGAAUUUCGUCCCGAAAUUAGAAUUUAGGUAAGGAAGUAGGUAUGAAUGAUCGAGUCAUGUGGUGGAAACUUCCUAAUCGAUUGGUUCUCGCGCUCAUAAGUGAAUUCGGGUCCUCGGUUGGUAUCCCAACGAACCUUCACUAAAGGGAGGCGGCGCUGCUUCGUCCACUUGACCUCUCGGUCGAGGGUCACUAUGGUUCUUCUAUGAAGGCGAGGAUCUCGUUAAUCUCGAUCUCGUCGAGUGGACUUACGAGAGUCCUGACGGAAAGGUACGUUUUUAAGUUCGAGACGUGAAGGGUAAAAUGUACGUUACUGAGUUCGCGGAGUAGGUCUAGUUUGUGGGAUACAGGACCGAUUCCGGUAAGAAUCUUGGAGGCCCUGACUAUCUUGGAUUUGGCUUUCCACGCGUUACGAAGCGUAUUAAUCCAUUCCCAGAGUGAGUUUUCCUAAAGAACUUGGUCUCUCACUUGGAAUUCCAAGGUUUCGUUCUCUUGCUUAACUUCCCAGUCAAGGGCCACCCCUUGCUGGGUCAAAGUCGUAAGGGUUUCUGUAAUUUCCGAGGAGUUCUGAAUGGACUACGAUAGUAGGUCUUUAAGACCUAGAAUUUGGCGAAUUUCUGUCGGCGUCUUCGAUGUUGACACAUUCUCAAUGGUGUUGAUAAAUUGAAAGAGUACUCAAGAAUUCCCACAACACCAAUAGUAUGUCUUAGGAAUCUAACUCUUCAAUUCCAAAACUCGUGUUUAGAGAACUUCGCGAAAGUUUCUCUGAGGGUAAUGUUUCCAUGGAUUCCUUCUUACUACGAGGGUAGAUAAGUAAAUCAUCACAAGGAGGAUGACGAACUGAUCCAAGUAAGAAUGGCGUACCCUAUUCAUUAAGCUCAUGAAUACUAUGGGCGUAUUGGUCCUAUCCGAGGGGUAUUACCACUGACUCGAAGUGUCCGCAUCGAGUUUGGAAGGUAGUCUUCGGGACAUCCUUCCCUAACAAUCGAAACUGUUGGUAUUCGGAUCUCGGUCCACUUCUGAAAGGUAAAUCGUUCCUUGUGUUUGCUCAACCAAAUUAUCUAUGAGAGGCAGAGAUAACGAUUUCUACUAGAAAUCUUGACAGAGUCCCCGAUAGUCGAGGCACAUAUGAUACAAUUCCAUCUACUCCUAGAAGGAUAAGACCGGAGCUCUCCAAGGUGAGAAGCCUAGUCUUCCAAUCCUAUUGCCGAGUAGUUCGCUAAGUUGUCCGGAUUGUUCUUGUAUCUUCAUGGGCGUUAGACCGUAGGGCGAUCUGUUUAUAGAAGUCGUACUGGUUUCUAAGUUUGUUCACAUGACGAUGCGAUUACUCUUAGUCUUGGGCAGUCUCCGUCCUGAAGUUCACAUUUAGAAGUCAUACAUGGUUCAUCAAUCGCAGUCUCGUGUAUACGAGUCGUAUAUAAUUAAGAUUGAAAAGGUAGUCGAAUAGCUGAUUCUUCUUUAAGCUCUUAUCCCAACGAGGAAAAGAAGUUAAAGUGGAAUUAUCAAUUCUAAACCUGUAGAACCUUGAUUAUAUAUCACCCCUAUGUAUACAUUCCUUAGCGAUAGAUCAACCGUAUGGAUCAUUGGAUUGAACUUGACGUACCGUACGAGUGGUACUUCGGGAAUUUCUUUGCUAAGGAAAAGAACUAUGAGGUACUCCAUGCAUGAGUACUUUGGAGUUCUGUAAUGACGGCUUCAUUAAAAAGACGUUUGCGAAGAAAGAGAUGUAUGUAUGAAGCUGGUAUUGUGCGGAUCAAUUUGAAUCUAGUUGUAUGAUAACGUCAGAAUCAUAAGGAAACUUAAAGACAUUAGAUUUGAACAUAAGGCGUUACAGACAAAACAUAACUGUGCAACCAUCAACAGAGUUUCAGUAUCAUAGGCUAAUUAUAGGACUACUGUUGCGAAUAGGGUAUACUACAAAAGACAAGUAUACGCAGCACGAGGAUCCCUCUACAGGCGGGAUCUCGCAAAAGAUAAGACCGGAGUUGCACUAGCAUUAAAUAGUUUGAAAGCAUACAUAAAUACUGCCAAAAGAAAGUGAACCUAUGUUAUAGCAAGGUUCGGGGUUCAAACUCCUCCUGUUCCCCCGUUGUUCUUCUCUGAUGGGCAGUCCUUCUUGAAGUGUCCCAUUACACCACAUAGGUGGUAUACAUGAGAAGUUCCGAAAUUUGUGGUUGAAGUAAUGUGUCGGAUCAGAGUAUUGUAGUAACGGAUGGUGUGUCCCUUUCUGUUGCAGUUUAAGCACUGCAUUUCCCAACAAAGUCCAUGGUUGUGCUAAUUGCAUUUGAUGCAUUUUAGGAGUUUGCCCGCAUAAGGUAUGACUGGGUUAACUGGGAUACCAGAAGGAAUGGCAGUGGGAGGUACAAAUGUCGUGGCUGGGAAGGCCGCCACUAGUUGUUGUCUUUUGCUCGUUCCUUGGGGUGAUUUUCCCUUGACUCCCUCCCUGAACAACCGUUUGCUGUUCUUGGGCUUAAGAUACAGAGUGUUGUGGUAGUUCGUUGUUCCUAGGUGUACUUGGUUGUCACUUGGAUUAGAAUCGCUGAUACCCAUUCCGCUAACAUUUGCGUUGUUAGCGUUAAGGUGGGUCAGAACAACUGUCACGGCAGCUAAGACUGCGACUAGAAAGGUAGAUGCAUCAAUAUAAAGGGUAUGGGUUUCGUUGUUCGGUUGACUAUUUCCGGAUGGAGGCAUGAUUCUGCAAUACGAAAGAAAAGGACUUUGUGAGCGAUUUUGGUUGACCCGAGAUGCACUUCGGCUGUUCAAGUAAAGAGUAAGAGUAUGAUCUCGAAAGUUUGACCUACAUCCCUAUGAUGCAGUUCUAGUACGGGUUGGAAGUAUGUUCGCGAAGGUUUGACCUACAUCCCUAUGAUGCAGUCCUAAUACUGAGUGGAAGUAAGUUCAUAGUACGGUCUUAUGACGCUUGACGUUCAAGCCGGGGUACCAUUGGUUGGGGAAUAACAUGACCCAACCUUUGGUAGAGAAUUGGGAAUGAUCCCGAAGCUAAAUUACCCUAGUCCAAUAGCUUGACUAGAGUGGGUUCCAGAUAGGCUCCCAUGAUGGCAUGAUGAAAGUAAUUGAAUAAAGAAUGACACAGAAGUUAGCCGAUUGUCAAUAUCUUUGAUAUUCAUGACGUACAAGUUCGGGGAAAUGACCUUGUAACAGGUCUUACAUCAUAUCCAGAGAAGAUAGUUAUUGACAGCAUAAAGGCCAAACUAAAGUACUUACAGUACAAGAUAGUUUCAUAGAAAAUGCCAUAUCGGGCAUAGACAGAAAAUGAUUCCUUUUAACAAGGAAAAUAAAGUAAAGCAUCUACUACUGGCGAAGGUCAUCCAUCUGGUGAACUCUCAGUUUAGCCAGUGCUUGCAGCAGGGUUUCAUGGUCUCUCUCAGAUAUCUCACGAGCAUCUUCCAGGCGAAUGGUGCAAAGGGUAUGCAUUCUCGCAUCAGCGACAACUUCGGUGAUCUGACGUAGGGCUGUCCUGCCUUGAAUCUCAUUUCGAGCUACUCUGCGGACCAGGAUUGGCAAGAUUCUAUCUGUUGAGCCCCCAUUUCUCAGGUCAUAAAAGCUUCGGUCACCGUUAAAUGGCAUGGGCUGGUCUUGUCCUUGGCUCCAUGUUUCCAAGGAUUCCACUCACGGAGUCGUCGGGCCAUGAAAAGCCGGACGAGGGUUAGGAUUUGGAAAGGGAGCUGUCUGGGGUAGGUUCUCAACCUCGGGUUCGGAGGUAGCACCAUCCAAAAGGUCUUCAUCAUGGUGAUCAAUCACAGGGAUAGGAUGAUCAUUCUCUGGUUCUCCUUCAAACCAUCCAGCAAUGACCUCAUUCGGAAGGUAUUGGUUGCCGUGGGGAUGGAGUCCAGCCAUGUUAUCUACGCGAGAAUUGGGGUAAGAAAAUAAUUAUUAGACGAACUAUCUAGAUAAUUAUUUACAAAAUCUUCAUUAGUUACAUCACUAUUUGUGAAGUGCAUACCAGUUAUAUGUAAUCGAAACAUGAUAGGCCUUCGAAUAAGUGACCUUAACUCCAAAUUCACAAAGAAUAGGGAUACAACAAAAUUUUCAUAGAUUCUAAGUCUAUAACAUCCUAGUUACAUAUAACUUUAGUGUAUCCACCUAGCAACUAUCAACUUAGUAAUGAAGAUUCCGUUUUAGUUCUCAAGUAUAAAGUACUUAUAGUAACACCAAAUACCCCUAUAGUAUUUUAUGUUUAAUGUUAUGUUCUACAGUUCUCAGUGUGGUAUUGUUGGUAAGAUUUUAGACUUGUUACGGCCACACAACUACACUUAGGCACAUGCUAGUCAACCCUCAGAUAAUAUAGUUGAUCAGGCUAUAUCUUCCCAGUUUUGACUAUAUGUCUCUAAGUCCACCUAUGUUGCCCAACAAUCGUAAUUCUUUUGUACUGUCCUAGUGACACUGAUUUUAGUAUGAAUGCGGCACAUAUACUUAAUUAAAUACUUUAUUAUUUAAAGUAUAAACUCUUGGUCAGAGUAUAUUAAUACCAUUGUAUUUAUAGUCUGUAUAUCUUUUAUGGGUUGAUAUACUUAAUUCACUAUAAACAAUGCUCUGAUACCAAUCUGUCACACCCCAAAACCAUGAACGACGGAAACGUUCUGAGGCGGAGGACGUCAUGUACAGUAUCACAACAAUGAAUAGUAGUAAACAAGCAACAACAUCAUCCAUUGCUUUAAUAAUAUAAUUUUAAUACAAGUGUUCUGAUAUGUCUAAUAGACGCUAAAGUAAAAAUCAAAAUGAAAGCUGAGUCUUGAACGAGCUCCGUCUUCUCUAAACCUUGCAUGUGUACCUAUCUAUAGUUGACCUGAGGAUACAAUUUAUAUUGAAAAUGAGGAUCAGCUUUAAAGCUGGUGAGAUCAUAAGUAUUUUAGUGUCUUAAUUUGUAUGUAAGUAUUUGUAUNACAUGGUUUUAAGCAUGAGUUUGUAAACAUUGGUGACAAAAGUAUUUGAACGUUUGUAAAUGUUUGUAAAAGUUUGAAUCUCUCAAAAAAACCUAUAUUUUCUAUUAAAAGUAGCCUUCUACUAAGGCGUAACUGUUUUGUAUGUUCAUUUAUUGUAAAAGGGUGUAAUUUUCCCAAGUGUAACUAUCAUUAACAAAAUAUAGUUUGUACAUUAUGUUUAAGUGAAAUGAUCACUAAAUAUAUGUAAAGGGUAAAAUAACGUAGUACUGUAGUGUUGUAUUAUAGGAACUACUACUGUACUAACUACCUUAAACCGGAUUUAUAUUAAGGUAUCAUGUGAUUAAUUGUACCAUACUACCGACUAGGUAACACGACAUUGUAGGUCGUAAAAAGGUAUGACGUUUGCCACUCACAGACCUGCAGGUCCCACUAUAGCUAGCAGCAAGGUGUAGGAUAGUCAAUACAAUAUAGAUCUAUACGCAAACUCAUACGAUCUCCAAUUAAGGAGAUUCGGGAAACAAAAGCGGUCAUGGAAGGAAGUGCCAUGACCCGCUCAAUGGUUCACAUAACUGCAUGAAUGUAUAUGUAAUGAAUGUGCUAACUGGAAGUGUACUCUUUCUCUUUCUAGCCUGUAUGUACUGAAAUGUUCU